rnacentral:rRNA from 1 species
GUAUACUCCUACGGGAGGCAGCAGUGGGGAAUUUUGGACAAUGGGCGAAAGCCUGAUCCAGCAAUGCCGCGUGAGUGAAGAAGGCCUUCGGGUUGUAAAGCUCUUUUGUCAGGGAAGAAACGGUGAAAGCUAAUAUCUUUUGCUAAUGACGGUACCUGAAGAAUAAGCACCGGCUAACUACGUGCCAGCAGCCGCGGUAAUACGUAGGGUGCAAGCGUUAAUCGGAAUUACUGGGCGUAAAGCGUGCGCAGGCGGUUUUGUAAGUCUGAUGUGAAAUCCCCGGGCUCAACCUGGGAAUUGCAUUGGAGACUGCAAGGCUAGAAUCUGGCAGAGGGGGGUAGAAUUCCACGUGUAGCAGUGAAAUGCGUAGAUAUGUGGAGGAACACCGAUGGCGAAGGCAGCCCCCUGGGUCAAGAUUGACGCUCAUGCACGAAAGCGUGGGGAGCAAACAGGAUUAGAAACCCUUGUAGUCCCA